GAAACACGUUACACAACACCAUGAGGAUAUCAUCAGCAAAUCCGCAAGUACAAAUAACACAUACACUAACUGCGAGCUAAAAACAAGGGAGGAGUCUACUUUGAUUAAGAGAGAUUUAAGAGCUAUUUCAAUCAAAUGCAAUGUGUGGGCAUGAUUUGGAUCCCAAUCCAAACAAACCAAUUGCAGCAAAUGGAUAAGGAAACUGAGCUACAGCAGGAUACAUGACUUGCCAAAAACCAGGCAGUCUGAAGCAAUUCAAACCCAGGUAUGACUCCAGAACCCAUCUCCCAUUUUGAUGUGGACUGGGACUAGAUGCAAGACGCUAACUUUUCCAUAGACUUUCUUCCAGCUGUCAUUUAAUGCAAAGACCUCGGCUGUUUGGCUGUGAAACUGUAAAAGUCCUUUCCCUACAUCGCCAGUCACACCCUCUCAAGGAGAAGAACAUCCUGGAUUAUAAGAUUCAUCCUGUAUUACACAGGUCCCACACGACCUGCACAAGAAUCCAGCCCUCUAAGUCUUCCCGUCCCAUUUUCCCUCCGUUGCUAAUCCUUGGUUUUGCGGUUUACUCCAAUGUGUUAAUUGACUUCAUUCCAGAUCUCCUACCUAUACCAGUUCUUAAUCUCUCUUCUUAUCCAUCCUACAAUGUGUGUGAUUUGGCAGCGUGAUGCAUAAAAUGGCUACUACCACUAAUUAUAUUUGAAUUUGUUAGGAUUCAUAAAGAUGUUUUACAUACAUUAGUCUAUUAAUUUAUCAUAAUAAACCUGUGAAGUAGGCAUUAUUAUCCCAAAUCACAGAUAAGAAUGCUAAGCCUCAGGGAGACUAAACGACUUGCUGAGGUCACACAGCUAAUAAGUGGCAAGGUUUCAAGGUGGAGCAGUGACAAGGAAACAACCCAUUAUACCUUAUGAGUUUUCUAAAAAUAUCAAUAUAAUAUUUGAGGAAAUAAUCAGCCCAUUAGAUUAUUUUCCUCCCCCUUACUCCCCCACACACUAAUGAGGCUUUAAUCAUACUCUCUCCCUUUGUGCCAGCUAAGUUGCUGCCACUCUUUGAGAAGAAGGUGGAAGCAAGAUAUACUUGUUCCAAAAGUGAUUUCAUGCUUUUUCUACUUUGGGGACAAUAAAAGCAAAUUAAAUUCACUGUGAAAGAAUCAGCCUCUUAAGGAUGUUCCAAGGAAUGGUACUCUAAAGAUUCUGCUAAAUGAUGAAACUGAGGAAUGACUGGGUUUUAAAAUAAGGUAGAAGUCAAAGUGAUGAUAGCAGCUGCCUUAUGUUUCUUUCUUUCUGGUUUUUAAAUAAAAUUAAGAUAUAACUACUCCAACUACCACAAACAUAGGCAGAACUCUGGAAUGAAUUACAUAAUUCCACCUAUGUCAUGUGUUAGGACCUCUAGAAUACCUCACUCGUGGUAGCCAGAAUGUCAAUGGAAGUUUUAGAGGCUUUUUUCUAAGUAUAUGCACAUAUUGGCAAUGUGUAUUGAUUAUUGAAUGACCGUUGUCAUAUGACUCAGUCAUUUCUCAAUGACACCCUUUAAUAUGAAUAGGAAGAUAGUACCAACUGUCAGCAUGAUCAUCAUGGGGAUGAGAAAAUAAUUAUACAAAUGCUAGAAAACAAACUUCUCAAAUUGCUACAUUUCCUCUCAAGUAUUUUCUCACCUUUAAAUUUCAAAUUAUUUAAAGUAUUUUCAAUUACUUGAAUCAAUUUAUCUCCUAAAACUUUAAUAUUCACCCCAAAACAGCUGUAUCUCAUAGUCCCUGACAAUUUUAAAACUUCUUAUUUUUUCCUUUUCUCAAAAUCAUCUCAUCAAAGAUGAGCAAAUGAUGGCCUUUUGCCAAGAACUUCACUGGAGAGCAAGAGUCUUUCUUAUUUAGCUUGGUUAGAAACCUUGAAAACAUAAAUAUUGAUACUGCCCCUUACGACAGUGAGAAGAGCAGGCUGUCUUGUACUAAAACUGAAUAUAAUUUUCCACUGGGAGAAAGUUCCUCCAAGUCUGCAUGAUCAAAAAUAACAAUAUGUUUAUGGUGAUGUGGGCAAUGAAUGUUAAGGGGAUUUACCAUGUGUCUCCAGGGCUGAAGGAAAAGUACGUACAUACUCAUAAGAAGAGAAAUACAAAGCUAGGAAAACAGCAAGGAGAGAUGAAAGCAAUAUUCAAAGUCAUGAGGUGGACUACUAGAGUGCAGCUCAGAUUUUAGAGAUCAGGCAUAUAACUGCAUUGGGGAGUAACCUUGAAUAGUCACCUUUUCCUGGUCUUGGAUAUGACCCUUUCUGAAACCUCUGGGUCAAACUGCCUAGGGUCUAAACUUUGUAUGGCUCUGGCUUUAAUUAGUUCUGUUUUGGGCUGAUUGUCCAGGCUGAAGCAAUUUUGCAGUCAUAUUAUAGGGAGGUGGCUUUCUUCAAGUCCACUUUGGAAUUACAUGCCCUUAACUUCAUUAAGUCUGUAUCCUAGGCCAGCCCUCCUUGUUGGGCACUGUUCAAAAAUGGAGUUCCUUGUCCAGUCUAUGUCUGCCAAUGGAAUUCACACAUUCCUAAUGCAUCUCUGUGUGAAUCGGUCCUCUGUUCCACCAAUGCCUGUUGGUGGAGUGUACAUAUGUGAGCCAUUGCAGAGAACAGAGGGGCAAUUCAGAUGCUGGGAACAUUUUUAGAAUAAUGAUACUCAGUGGAAUUCCACAUAGACUUGCAUUUUAUGGCUAUGGGUCACUUUUGUCAAAUAAAGCAUGUAUUUACAAUACUCAAACAUUUAAAGUUACUGAAAAAUAUUUAACUCUUUUGGGUUUGGGGUUUAUGCUUCUCUUUAAUGUUUAUAUAAUUUAAGUUUUGACAAUAGAAAAGCUAGGCUGAAAGGGGAAACAAUCCAACUGCACACACAAAAGAGUGCCUAGAUAGAAGACGGACAGCAUAGGAGAUUGAGCAUCUGUGGAUCAGGGUAAGUCAUGCUUUCUGCUCUGAUUUAUUCAUCCAUUUAGUUUUUCAUUCAUUCAUCCAUAUCCAUAGCCCCUCUCAUAUACAAAACAAAUGUAGUAUCAAAAAUGUUUCUAUUGUAAAGAGACAAGUUGCUCAACCUUCUGGUUCUUCAUUUCUUCAUCUAUAAAACAGGGGGACUGUUAAAAAUGUCAUAAUAUUCUGGAAAUAUUUAGGUAAUACAUAAUCAUGACAAUGAUAAUAGUAAUUAUACCUGUAAUAACAACAACAAUCCAACAAGUCUUUUCUGCCAACAGACUUAUGCCAACAACUUGAUGGUUAAGAGGUCCUAACCCCAAAUCCAGGUUAGAUCUCCUCUGUGCAAAGAUUAGGCUAAGUUCAACCACUCCAAGGCUUUGGAGCGGGUCAUAGCUUUUUCUGUGAUGAUCCAGCUCCCUGAGAGGGCCUGAAAAAAGCUAAGAGACGGGCACGGUAGGCUGUACCUGCCCUUAGUGAACUCAGGAGAGCCACGUCUUAUAUUCCUUUUCUAUGAGGCCAGAAAUAAACUCUUAUAUCAGAGACAUCAGGAAAUCAGACCUUAUGCUACAUGUACCUUACAAAGCUUUGGGGGUGAAAACACAGGAACAGAGUUAUCUGCAGCUCCUCGAAGAGAAAUGAGACGUAUGGCAUGUUUGCCCUCAAACCACAAGAAGUGCCCUUAAUAUCUAAGGCUCCAGAGAAGAAAAGCAGGCUGUGAUGAGUGGGGCUUGGAGCUUGGCUUCCCCAUCAACGAGCCAGGAGAUUGGAUCCAGGAGUGAGGACACUGGAUGAGCACUUCCCACUUAGCAAGAAACCAAAUUAUCAGUUCCUCUUCCCAGCAUGUUUCAAAGGGCUAGAGAAAUUCUGAACAACACAAUUUCCAUGGGAAGAGACAAGAAGCAAUGGAAGGAAGGAAAAGCAGGAUUUUGACAGGUGCUAUGCCUUAAAGAAAAAAGAAUACAUCAGUACCCAAAUUUGGUGCAGUUUAUUGAUACAGUUGAGGCUUAUUCAAGGAUCUGAUGUAGUCCUGAGUCAGACCAAGCCAGAUCCUUCAUCGAAGCACCUCGGGUUUGUCCUGUCUGUACAGUGUACACAGCACUUCCAGAUACAUCCUCAUUGGACUCUCAUCAUUACCCCCAGAAGCAGAAUGUGGCAGCUAUCAAGAUUCCCUUUUAAAGAUGAAAUUUAGUGCCAUGGGUCUCCAAUCUUUUAUUCCACCUGGGAGAGGGCAAAGAGGCACUUCUAAAUUUUGUGGCAGGGGCAAAAACCAAGGGGAGAAGUUGGCAUUAAGCACGUACAACAUCUUUUCUCUCUAAUGACCUGGAAACAUUCAAAAAAGUAAGUAGAUAUAUUUCAAAGGAAAAAUUCUCCCUUUAGGGUAAUAUUGAUCAUUU
rnacentral:lncRNA from 10 species